rnacentral:rRNA from 1 species
GACGAACGCUGGCGGCGUGCUUAACACAUGCAAGUCGAACGGAAAGGCCCUGCUUUUGUGGGGUGCUCGAGUGGCGAACGGGUGAGUAACACGUGAGUAACCUGCCCUUGACUUUGGGAUAACUUCAGGAAACUGGGGCUAAUACCGGAUAGGAGCUCCUGCUGCAUGGUGGGGGUUGGAAAGUUUCGGCGGUUGGGGAUGGACUCGCGGCUUAUCAGCUUGUUGGUGGGGUAGUGGCUUACCAAGGCUUUGACGGGUAGCCGGCCUGAGAGGGUGAGCGGCCACAUUGGGACUGAGAUACGGCCCGGACUCCUACGGGAGGCAGCAGUGGGGAAUAUUGCACAAGGGGCGGAAGCCUGAUGCAGCAACGCCGCGUGCGGGAUGACGGCCUUCGGGUUGUAAACCGCUUUCGCCUGUGACGAAGCGUGAGUGACGGUAAUGGGUAAAGAAGCACCGGCUAACUACGUG